GAUGAACGCUGGCGGCGUGCCUAAUACAUGCAAGUCGAGCGAACAGAUGAGGAGCUUGCUCCUCUGACGUUAGCGGCGGACGGGUGAGUAACACGUGGAUAACCUACCUAUAAGACUGGGAUAACUUCGGGAAACCGGAGCUAAUACCGGAUAAUAUAUUGAACCGCAUGGUUCAAUAGUGAAAUACGGUUUUUGGGUACGUACUCGUGGAUUCGCCGCGGAUUAGCUAGUUGGUUAGGUAACGGCUUAUCAAGGGAAAGAUGCGUAGCCGAACUGAGAGGGUGAUCGGCCACACUGGAACUGAGACACGGUCCAGACUCCUACGGGAGGCAGCAGUAGGGAAUCUUCCGCAAUGGGCGAAAGCCUGACGGAGCAACGCCGCGUGAGUGAUGAAGGUCUUCGGAUCGUAAAACUCUGUUAUUAGGGAAGAACAAAUGUGUAAGUAACUAUGCACGUCUUGACGGUACCUAAUCAGAAAGCCACGGCUAACUACGUG
rnacentral:rRNA from 1 species